ACGAACGCUGGCGGCGUGCUUAACACAUGCAAGUCGAGCGGUAAGGCCCUUUCGGGGGUACACGAGCGGCGAACGGGUGAGUAACACGUGGGUGACCUGCCCUCAGCUCUGGGAUAAGCCUGGGAAACCGGGUCUAAUACCGGAUAUGACUCCAUGACGCAUGUUGUGGGGUGGAAAGCCUUGUGCGGCUGAGGAUGGGCCCGCGGCCUAUCAGCUUGUUGGUGGGGUGANGGCCUACCAAGGCGACGACGGGUAGCCGGCCUGAGAGGGCGACCGGCCACACUGGGACUGAGACACGGCCCAGACUCCUACGGGAGGCAGGCAGUGGGGAAUCUUGCGCAAUGGGCGAAAGCCUGACGCAGCGACGCCGCGUGAGGGAUGACGGCCUGG
rnacentral:rRNA from 1 species